GUAUUCCAUUGUGUAUGUGUGUGUAUAUAUAUAUGUAUACACACACACACACACACACACACAUAUAUACACACACACAC
ensembl:miRNA